UAGACCUCUAUACCGAAAUACCCGAAAAUCCGAAAUAUCCGAUCCGAACCCGAACGGGUACCCGAACGCCCACCCCUAGGCGAGAAGUUGGCUGUAACUUGUUCUCAUAUAAAAGCAGUUUGAAAACAAAAACAGACACACUUGUGAAGUUAUGUUCUUCAUCUCCCGCCUGAGAGCCAGAGAAAAUGGCUUCUACCAUACCUUCUUCUCCAAGCCCCUCUCUUUCUCCACUACCUCCGUAUUCCACCUGAAGAAAACUCAUGAUCAUGUUCUUGACCCUCGAGUAGAAGAAGAUGCACUAGAAGAAGAAGACCGUCGACGCAGCGUAACCGACAGAGCGUAUUGGAGAAGACGGAUACACAGUCUCUGCACCCUACGUAAAAGCCCCGACGAAGCUCUCCGAAUCAUCGACGGCCUCUGCCUCCGCGGAUACCGCCCCGACUCGCUUAACCUCAGCAGCGUGAUCCACGCUCUCUGCGACGCGGGAAGAUUCGAGGAAGCUCACCGUCGCUGUCUCCUCUUCGCCGCUUCGGGUUUUAUUCCCGACGAGCGUACCUGCAACGUUAUCAUCGCGAGGCUGCUCGAUUCGGGGGAUCCGGUGAGCACGUUGAGGGUUGUGCAUCGGUUGAUCGGUGUCAAGAGAGAGUUCGUGCCGUCGUUGACGAAUUAUAACCGUUUGAUUAAUCAGAUGUGUUUGAUGAAUAGAGUGAGGGAUGCGCAUAAGCUUGUGUUUGAGAUGAGGAGCAGAGGGCAUAGACCCAAUGUCGUGACGUACACGACUCUGAUCGGUGGGUACUGCGAGAUUCGUGAGAUUGAAGUUGCGCAUAAGGUGUUCGACGAAAUGCGUGCGUGUGGCGUGAGGCCUAACUGUCUCACGCUGAGUGUUCUUAUUGGUGGGUUUUUGAAAAGGAGAGAUCUUGAAGCAGGGAGGAAGAUGAUGGAGGAGCUUUGGGGAGAGAUGAAGGAUGAGACUGAUGCAUCAGUGAAGUCAGCAGCUUUUGCGAAUCUGAUUGAUUCUUUGUGCAGGGAAGGUUAUUUCAACGACGUUUUUGAGAUUGCAGAGGAUAUGCCACAGUGUGAGUCCGUGAACGUUGAGUUUGCUUACGGGCAUAUGAUGGAUUCUUUGUGUCGGUAUAAGAGAAACCAUGGAGCUGCGAGGAUUGUUUAUAUCAUGAAGUGUAAAGGGUUAAAGCCUAUAAGCACGUCUUACAAUGCUAUUAUUCAUGGUUUGUGCAAGGAUGAUGGGUGUAUGAGAGCUUAUCAGUUUCUAGAAGAGGGAUCUGAGUUUGGUUUUUUCCCGUCUGAGUAUACUUAUAAGCUCUUAGUGGAGAGUCUAUGCAAGGAGCAUGACACUGGUAAGGCGAGGAAUGUUCUAGAGCUGAUGUUGAGAAAAGAAGGAACAGAUAGAACUAGAAUCUAUAAUAUCUACCUACGUGCUCUCUGCGUAGUGGAUAAUCCGACAGAGAUCCUAAAUGUUCUGGUCAGUAUGCUUCAGGGAGACUGUAGGCCCGAUGAGUAUACACUUAACACAGUCAUUGAUGGAUUUUGCAAGAUGGGUAGAGUGGAUGACGCCAUGAAAGUUCUUGGCGAUAUGAUGACAGGGAAGUUCUGCGCACCUGAUGCUGUGACUUUAACUACUGUUAUGUGUGGCUUGCUUACUCAAGGAAGAGCAGAAGAAGCUCUUCAUGUGUUGAAUCGAGUUAUGCCAGAGAACGGGUUUAAGCCAAGUGUUGUUACAUACAACGCUGUUAUGCGUGGAUUGUUCAAGCUCCGUAAGGGAGAUGAAGCUAUGCGUGUGUUUGAUCAGAUGUCGAAGGCAGGUGUGAUCGCAGAUAAUACUACAUAUGCUAUCAUCAUUGACGGGUUGUGUGUGACUGGUCAGGUGGAUACGGCGAAGAGGUUCUGGGACGAUGUGAUAUGGCCAUCGGGCAGACAUGAUGCGUAUGUGUAUUCAGCAUUUCUGAAAGGUCUUUGUCGGUUUGGUAGUCUAAGUGAUGCUUGCCAUUUCCUAUACGAACUGGCGGAUUCUGGAGCGGUUCCUAAUGUUGUGUGCUAUAACAUUGUGAUCGAUGAAUGUAGCAGAAGUGGGUUGAGGAGAGAGGCGUACCAGAUUAUAGAGGAGAUGAGGAAGAACGGUCGGGCUCCUGAUGCUGUCACAUGGCGGAUACUUGAUAAACUACAUGAUUCCAGAGCUUUAGCAGUGGAAGGAGAGUAAUCUUCAAACUCGGCAAAACUACAUGUUUUUGGCAUAUUGUUUUUUAUUUUAUUUUAUGAUUGCUGGUAGAAAGUAAAGCUGUGUAUGUGAAAUUAUAAAGUGUAAAACAAGUGGCCUAGUUUGUGAGUUCCUUGCCGGCAAAUUCAAAAGCUCAGUUAGUUGAAUACUUAUAUAUUCAUCUACAGCAACAUGAGUGGAGCCAGUAAAAAUGGUUCUUCAGAGACAUCAAUCCAGACAGCUAUUUUAAAGAUGUACAAAGACAAGCAUUACAUACUGAUCUAUUACUAAUGGUAGGGAAAACAGAGCCAACCAAUGCAAAGUGGAAACCACCAAUGGUUUUAACUUGUUCCACCACUUUGCUGUUGAGCCUGCGACUCCCAGAAGAGUCUGACUUCAAGCUCAUCAAGCGAAAAGAGCGUGGAUACUACGUUACCGCUGCGUUUCCAUCACAUUACACCGCGGUGGUUCUUCAUAAAUUUGGCUCUGCGAUCCUCUCAGCGGAGCUGCUAUCUUUUACCGAGGUUCUCGGAUUUCUUGCUCACUCAGCAUCCCUGCUCAUCGAGUCUCCACUGACGUUUUGAGACCCUGGCUCGUCAGAACUAGGAUUUCACAGCCUGCAGAAGCGUUAACUGACGAGAUGUCUGCUAUUACGCUUGAUCUAGGUGCCGCCUCCAUCUCGAGUCAGACUCGUAUCUACGUCACCCAUUGCUAUCUACAACCAAAACUUUAUUUCCCAAUCCACACAGGCAAGGUCUCUCCCAAUUUCAUUGCAGCUGCACCUAAACUCAGCAUACACGUUUACAGACUCGGGUAGACAAUACAUGUUAACUAUACAUACCUUCAGAAAUAUUAAAGCAUCUGGCAACCCUUCCCACUGAGAUAAUCUGUUUUUGAGAAGAUUAGAAUUUUCCUCCAGAAACAUGUCCUCCAAUAUGCUUGAGUUGUAAGUCGGCGUGGGCAGAGAGUCACCAUCUUUAUCAUCAAAACAAAUCAUAAUGAUUAUUAAACUGUUGUCUCAACAUAUUCGUCAAGAGAAAACUCAACAUUCCUGAAACAAACCGCAUUACCCACAGUAACAUAACAAAGGUUGCAACAUCAAACAGUGAUUUUUCUGAAGGUAUUUAUUUUUCUUAUGGAAAAUCCAGGAAAGAGAUCAACAUUCUCAGCGUCAAAACAUUCUCACCUUUCUUAGCGAAAAACAAAACUAGAGCACACAUACCUGGGAAAACAACUAAGACUGGCUUCCUCGCCUCGUUCUGUAAGGCUGACCAUUCAACUUUCUCAACGGACGAUGACAACAACAAAUGGUUUUAAAAGUGUCUAUAUGGCCAAGGAUCCCAAUCAUCACAAUUAGGAGAUCAGCCUAUAUGGCCAAGGAUCCCCUAAACAACAACAACUAAACAACUCAACCAGUUAGUCACUUUCUUUUCCAAAAGAUGACUAACUUCAAUCAACAAGAUUAAUUAAACGAGAAAGCAUUUAAUUAAAUCUACUCAAUCAAUCUACUCAAUCAAACAGUUACCUAGAUAGUUCGGCCUCCUGCUACGACACUAUCUUUAAAGAUAAGGGAACCUGUACUCAACCAUAUCAACACGCAAAAAUAUAAAUCAUGAUGCAUCCUAGUCUUAGUCAGGUUAUUAUCUCAGUCUUAAUUUCAUUCAACCAUGCAACAGCAUGAGCAUUCUACUCUAUAUAAGACUCGAUCUUUCCUAAGUUCCAAAUGGAACUCACAAAACUACCCUAAAUUCUAAGUGGAAUUCACACAAGCCAACUCACAAAACUACCCUAAAUUACAAGUGAAAUUUAAACAAGUCAACUCACAGAACUACCCUAAAUUCCAAGUGGAAUUCAAACAAGCCAAGUCACAGUGUUCUAGGCGAGAAGCAGCUGGUUGAUCGGAGAGGACUUUACCAAAACCCAAGGGACGACUUGACUGGACUUGACUGAUCUCGACUUGGACAAACCUCGGCUUCACCAUGAAGAAACUAACAAGCCUCGACAGACUGAUCUGGACUCGGACAAAACCUCCUUUAGCUCCUGGACAGUUCUUCGGACUUCCCGGCGGAGUAUCAAGUUUCAGAACUUCGACUGAUCUGAAUCCAUGGAACUGAACUAAAUAUGAACAAUACCUCCACUUGAUCAUCAAAGGAACUGACUGGCCUGGACGGACUGCUAUGGACAGAGCUUCCGCCUCACCAUCGUAGAAAUCAUCGAUUGGACGGAACUGGCUUUCUCGGUGGAGUAUCGGUCUUCAGAAUCGACCAUACUCUACAUCGACCACUUUCUUUAUUUCUCUCUCUCUAGCCACGUUGACUUGCUUCCCAUCUGAACUGAUCUUCAUUUUAUUGACCUUCAGUUGGACAGAACCUUCCCUAGGCGCUGACUCGAAUUCAGUAGAAAACUGACCUCAAAAACUCUGUAAAACUCUCAAAAUAGCUCGGAAACUCUUGCUUUCUUUUUAUACUUUUCUCUCACGUUUUAAACUUGGUUUGGACAGGUCUGGAUGUGAUGAAAUGAGCUGGGGUCGUGGGAUAUUUAUAGAAGACAACAACCAAUCAGUUUCAGGUUGGUGGCAGCCCGUGUGUCGACGCAUGCGCGGCGGCACCUCAUACUCUACAUGGCUGGCUGCAUGUCUCAGCCUCAUGCAGGUCAAUACACCUCCUCCCACAUGUCAGGAUGCAUGCCUGGAGUGCAUGCAAGACGCCACACAAGUACACACAUGCCGAUCAGCAUGCUUCGGUUGCAUGCGCAGAGACACCUCGUGCUUGGUCGAUCCACCUCGUGUUCAACAUGUCAUUUCUCAUGCUACUGCUUCAUGCACGGACACACCUCAGGCUUCUGUAGACACUAAGCUUACUGGACUGUUGACACCACGUUCUGAUCCCAUGCAACGAGCCACCUCGAGCUUCUCGGUUCAUUCGUCUGAUUUUGGUCCUUCCAGCAAUUUUCUGAUCCGCGAUAAACUCCGAAUAUUCUGCUCCCAUUCAGAUGAGUUUAAUAUUUUUAAUAAACUCCAAUCUGAAGUCUGACCUUGGCGGUAAAUAUUUCCCAAUCCUUCGGCUUCAUCGAAGACUUCCAUAAUACUGAAAUUAGGGGUUCGUCCAAUUUUGGAUUUUCCUGUCCUCCUUAACUCCCGUCUUGCUUCCAAUGUCUUCGAAAUAAUAUUCUGCUGAUACGAAGUUUCGUGGAAAACUUCGUGCUGAAGAAACGUCAUUCUUCCAAAACGUCGAGCUUCGAAACCGUCGUGCUUCCAAAAAUGUUCUGCUUCCAAGACAUCUGUCUGAUCAAUUUAAGACAUCUUCUAAGUAUGGUCGAACAACUUAUUCGACUCAUAGUUCACUCACGAUCACUUCUUCGCCCACCUCAUACUUCAAAACUUCUCAAUCGAUCCUUAUCGCCCGCGACUCGACCACCACAAGGAUACUCGACCAUUCUCUAUCUUUUUUUUUUUACAGGUUUCUACAAUUAGGAUAUCAUCUUUCAUCCUUACUUCACAACCUACUUUGGUGGCUUGACCUAAACUCACAAUGUUCCUCCUUAAACCGGUAUGUAGUAGACGUUGUUUAGUAUUUUCUUCUCGCCUCCUUCCAAGAUAAAACUGAUUGAUACUUUUUUCUUUUAUGUCGAUACGAGAAUCAUCCCCAAAACAGACUUUUACUAUAACACCCUCAUCGAGUUUGAGAAAGAACACUCGGUUCCCACUCAUGUGGUUGCUUGCCCCAUUGUUAAGAUACCACACGUUUUCCAUACCUUGUUCGACAUCGAAGAUACUUGGUUUUACCUUUUUCUCGUUGAGAUAAACCACUUCAUACAUCAUAAAUUCAUCAGCUUCUUGUGUAUCUUAUUCUUUCUUCUCAACCGUUUCUUGCAGUUUGAGUAGCUUAUCAGGACAAUCAGCUGUGUAAUGUCCUUGCUUAUCACACUUGAAACAAGUGAUGUGGGCUGCAUCUAUGUUUUGACUUUGCUUAUACGCCUUUCUCUGUGCAUAGAAACCCUCGUAGCAACCUCAACCUCUUCCUCUCCAACUACCGCAUCCACCUCUUCCUCGUCCUCCUUGUCCGUAGCUCUCUUGUUGCAACUCAUUGCUGUUAGCGUACAUUAUUUUACCAUGAUCAUCAUGAUGCUCUUCUUCAUCUUCACACAUUCUCUCUUCGUAUGCUUUUAGUCUACCAACAAUGUCCUCAAAGCUAGUCAUUUUUAGGCCGAGAACCUGUUUAAGCGAUGCAACAAUAUGAAUGUAUUUUCUUAUUGGUAGAAUCUUCAAGAACUUCUUGACAAUCUUUGGUUCUUCAAUGAUUUCUCCUAAAGAGGCAGAUUUCGAUGAGAUUUCUGAAAGUUUUCCCACAAAAUUAUCGAUGGUAUAUUUUUCCUUCAUCUUAAGUUUAUCGAACUCAGCCAUUAGUGUUUGCAAACGUGCUUCUUGUACUCUCUCAGCUCCGUCAUGUAUUCCUUUGAUUGCAUUUCAUACUCCUUUGCUGUAUCGAGGUCGUCUACUUGUAGUAUUAGAGCCUCAGGAAUGGAUUGAAAUAGCAAAGCAAUAGCGAUGUUAUUCUUUUCCUUAUGUUUGCUUCGAGGAUCAAUAGUUUCCCAUACUUUAUUAACUUUGAUUGCAAUCUUCAUUCGCAUAGCCCAAACUGUGUAGUUGGUAGAGGUUAACAUCGAAAAUUUGAUGGACGAGGGUCUAUUUUUUUUGGUGUUUGUCUCAGCUUCUUCUUUCAUAUUGGCCAUGGUCGUCUUCUUCACAGUAUCGCUUGUUCACACUUUGGUUUCUUCGCAGUAUGACUCUGAUACCAAUUAUUGAAUCACAAACCAAUUUUAAUAAAAAGUCUUUAUCUUAUUAAUCACUCAAACUCUCAAAUCACUAAUCACAAAAUCACUCACAGAAUUCGCAAUUCACUCACCACAAUAUGCAUCCCUUUAUAUAGGAAUAUCGAUGACUCCUAAACCUAUUGAACUUAACAUAAUUCAUAUUUCUCUUUUUCUUAAACCUUUAUAAAACAUAAUUCGAUAGGUUUAGGAAACUUGCUUUUAAAGCUUUCUUCAAACUUACUCCAACAACAGUUUCUAGCUCUAAGUCGAAGAAAAUCACCUUUUUUCGCUGCUCUCCAUGGCUAGUUCUUCGAAAAAAAUGGCCGCAGAAGCUAAAUCAUCGGGCAAGCGGAAAAAGUCGGAAGAUGAUUUGGAGCAAGCUAAUAUAUUGGUGAAGCGCAAGCUGAAAGAUAAUUUGGAGACCAAACAUAUGAUUCUGAAGAAACAUAAGGUUGCUGUAAAAAAGAAAACGAUCUUGGUUGGCCGAGUCCCUACCCAUGCUGGUAUAGCAGAUAUCAUUGAUUUCUUCAAAGAUGUUGGACAAGUUGUUCGUGUUCAACGUAUUGUCAAACCCUGGCUGAAGGCGAAUACUAGAAUUGCCUUUGUUAAGUUUGCUUCUUCUAACGAAGCAGAGAAGGCUGCCCAAAAGCUUGAAAAUUUGCAGAUUUUUGGUCAGAUUAUUGCAUCUUACCGUCCUUCACGACUCAAGUAUUGCAAAGAUCACAUAGUCUGG